rnacentral:rRNA from 1 species
GAUGAACGCUGGCGGCGUGCUUAACACAUGCAAGUCGAACGAUGAAGCCCAGCUUGCUGGGUGGAUUAGUGGCGAACGGGUGAGUAACACGUGAGUAACCUGCCCUUGACUCUGGGAUAAGCCCGGGAAACUGGGUCUAAUACCGGAUAGGAGCGCCUGUCGCAUGACGGGUGCUGGAAAGAUUUUUCGGUCAUGGAUGGACUCGCGGCCUAUCAGCUUGUUGGUGAGGUAAUGGCUCACCAAGGCGACGACGGGUAGCCGGCCUGAGAGGGUGACCGGCCACACUGGGACUGAGACACGGCCCAGACUCCUACGGGAGGCAGCAGUGGGGAAUAUUGCACAAUGGGCGGAAGCCUGAUGCAGCGACGCCGCGUGAGGGAUGACGGCCUUCGGGUUGUAAACCUUUUUCAAUAGGGAAGAA